GAGGGUGUGGCUCAAUGGCAGAGCAUCUGCUUAAUAUGCAGAAGGUCCUAGGUUCAAUCCCCAGCAUCUUCA